rnacentral:rRNA from 1 species
AUUGAACGCUGGCGGCAUGCCUUACACAUGCAAGUCGAACGGUAACAGGCCGCAAGGUGCUGACGAGUGGCGAACGGGUGAGUAAUGCAUCGGAACGUGCCCAGUCGUGGGGGAUAACUGCUCGAAAGAGCAGCUAAUACCGCAUACGACCUGAGGGUGAAAGCGGGGGACCGUAAGGCCUCGCGCGAUUGGAGCGGCCGAUGUCAGAUUAGCUAGUUGGUGGGGUAAAGGCCUACCAAGGCAACGAUCUGUAGUUGGUCUGAGAGGACGACCAGCCAACCUGGGACUGAGACACGGCCCAGACUCCUACGGGAGGCAGCAGUGGGGAAUUUUGGACAAUGGGCGCAAGCCUGAUUCAGCAAUGCCGCGUGCAGGAAGAAGGCCUUCGGGUUGUAAACUGCUUUUGUCAGGGAAGAAAUCUUUUGGGCUAAUACCCCGGGAGGAUGACGGUACCUGAAGAAUAAGCACCGGCUAACUACGUGCCAGCCGCCGCAGUAACAC